ACAACACGCGAAAAAGGCAGUUUUUUUUUCUGAGCCAGUUCUUGUUGGUGUGAAAACUCGUCACAUCAAGAGGUAGUGGGUUUGAGUGAAGUGUCAGGUAUAACGGUUAAGCCUUUACAGAGUGCAGGUCACUUGUCAAGUGCACAGCCAUUCGUGUUCUGUGUCAAGGACAGCUGUGCUGCACCGUCCGUCCGUGAUACGACGCCCGUCCGGCCACCGCUCUCUUGUGCCAUGCAUACGCCGCGGACCAAUGGGCAGAGAAUUGGGAAACUCCGCUGUGGGACCUCAGUUCAAGUCCCUCCAUCGGGCACGCUGAAAAGGCCCCGUGCGGGGCGAGGCUGGAACCUACCCACCAACUGACCGCAAAACGCCUGGGAAUGGAAGGACGGAAACGUGCGGUCUCGCACCUGGGGGCUCAGCGGUCGAAGGCUUCCCUGGCACAGCUGCUCACACAGUCGCUGCAUUGGUGCCAGCGACAGAAGCUGCGCUGGCCGCACGCUGGAGCUCAGGGACCGAACCAGCUUGGGUCUCCAAUACAUCAGGCAGCAUUGUGGCGCCAUCUAUGAGGCUCUAGUACCACACCAAGGCCAAAAGCCCGGAUUCAUCAAAUUCAGCUGCCUUGGAGACCAACGCCAGCUGGGGUUCCAGCAAGGACUCGGCUGCGCUGCCCUUUCCCUGGCAGCAGCGGGCCAACAACC